GUGACAGAGUGAGGGAGGGGGUGACUAGUGACAGAGUUAGGGAGGGAAGGGGUGACUAGUGACAGAGUGAGGAAGGGGGUGACUAGUGACAGUCACCACCUCCCUCACUCUGUUACUAGUCACCACCUCCCUCACUCUGUCACUGUGUCACCCCCUCCCUCUAUCACUGGUCACCCACUCCCUCCCUCCCUCUGUCACUGGUCACCCAUUCCAUCCCUCACUCUGUCACCAGUCAUCCCCUCACUCUGUCACUAGUAACCCCUUCCUUCCCUCACUCUGCCACUAGUCACCCCUUCCCUCACUCUGUCAC